GACAUAGGUGGCAAACGUUAUCCGGAAUUAUUGGGCGUAAAGGGUGCGUAGGUGGUUUAAUAAGUUACUGGUGGCAAAUCGGGGCCCAACCCCGUGGAAGUCAGUAAUACUAUCGAACUAGAGGGUCGGAGAGGUUAACGGAACUCCAUGUGUAGCGGUAAAAUGCUCAAAUAUAUGGAUGAACACCAAUCGGCGAAGGCAGUUAACUAUUCGAUUCCUGACGUUGAGGCACGAAAGCGUGGGGAGCAAACGGG
rnacentral:rRNA from 1 species